AGAGUUUGAUCAUGGCUCAGAACGUACGCUGGCGGCACGCCUAACACAUGCAAGUCGAACGAAGUAGCAAUACUUAGUGGCAGACGGGUGAGUAACAUGUAGGUAUCUGCCCUUUGGCCUGGAAUAACACGAGGAAACUUGUGCUAAUACCGGAUAAGUCUUUACGGAGAAAGCUUUAUGCACCAUUGGAUGAGCCUGCACUUGAUUAGUUUGUUGGUGGGGUAAUGGCCUACCAAGACUGUGAUCAAUAGCUGAUUUGAGAGGAUGAUCAGCCACAUUGGGACUGAGACACGGCCCAAACUCCUACGGGAGGCAGCAGUGGGGAAUCUUGCACAAUGGAGGAAACUCUGAUGCAGCGAUGCCGCGUGAGUGAAGAAGGCCCUUGGGUUGUAAAGCUCUUUCGUCGGGGAAGAAAAUGACUGUACCCGAAUAAGAAGGUCCGGCUAACUUCGUGCCAGCAGCCGCGGUAAUACGAAGGGACCUAGCGUAGUUCGGAAUUACUGGGCUUAAAGAGUUCGUAGGUGGUUGAAAAAGUUAGUGGUGAAAUCCCAGAGCUUAACUCUGGAACUGCCAUUAAAACUUUUCAGCUAGAGUAUGAUAGAGGAAAGCAGAAUUUCUAGUGUAGAGGUGAAAUUCGUAGAUAUUAGAAAGAAUACCAAUUGCGAAGGCAGCUUUCUGGAUCAUUACUGACACUGAGGAACGAAAGCAUGGGUAGCGAAGAGGAUUAGAUACCCUCGUAGUCCAUGCCGUAAACGAUGUGUGUUAGACGUUGGAAAUUUAUUUUCAGUGUCGCAGGGAAACCGAUAAACACACCGCCUGGGGAGUACGACCGCAAGGUUAAAACUCAAAUGAAUUGACGGGGACCCGCACAAGUAGUGGAGCAUGUGGUUUAAUUCGAAGAUACGCGCAGAACCUUACCAACACUUGACAUGUUCGUCGCGACUCUAAGAGAUUAGAGUCUUCGGUUCGGCCGGACGAAACACAGGUGCUGCAUGGCUGUCGUCAGCUCGUGUCGUGAGAUGUUGGGUUAAGUCCCGCAACGAGCGCAACCCUCACUUUUAGUUGCCAUCAUUAAGUUGGGCACUCUGAAAGAACUGCCAGUGAUAAGCUGGAGGAAGGUGGGGAUGACGUCAAGUCCUCAUGGCCCUUACGUGUUGGGCUACACACGUGCUACAAUGGUAUCUACAACAGGAAGCAAGACUGCGAAGUUAAGCAAAUCCCUAAAAGAUACCUCAGUUCGGAUUGCACUCUGCAACUCGAGUGCAUGAAGCUGGAAUUACUAGUAAUCGUGGAUCAGCGUGCCACGGUGAAUGCGUUCCUGGGUCUUGUACACACCGCCCGUCACACCAUGGGAGUUGGUUCUACCUUAAGGCAAGGUUUCAAACCCUUGACCACGGUAUAGUCAGCGACUGGGGUGAAGUCGUAACAAGGUA
rnacentral:rRNA from 1 species